GCCUAACACAUGCAAGUCGAACGAAGUAGCAAUACUUAGUGGCAGACGGGUGAGUAACAUGUAGGUAUCUGCCCUUUGGCCUGGAAUAACACGAGGAAACUUGUGCUAAUACCGGAUAAGUCUUUACAGAGAAAGCUUUAUGCACCAUUGGAUGAGCCUGCACUUGAUUAGUUAGUUGGUAGGGUAAUGGCCUACCAAGACUUUGAUCAAUAGCUGAUUUGAGAGGAUGAUCAGCCACAUUGGGACUGAGACACGGCCCAAACUCCUACGGGAGGCAGCAGUGGGGAAUCUUGCACAAUGGAGGAAACUCUGAUGCAGCGAUGCCGCGUGAGUGAAGAAGGCCUUUGGGUUGUAAAGCUCUUUCGUCGGGGAAGAAAAUGACUGUACCCGAAUAAGAAGGUCCGGCUAACUUCGUGCCAGCAGCCGCGGUAAUACGAAGGGACCUAGCGUAGUUCGGAAUUACUGGGCUUAAAGAGUUCGUAGGUGGUUGAAAAAGUUGGUGGUGAAAUCCCAGAGCUUAACUCUGGAACUGCCAUCAAAACUUUUCAGCUAGAGUAUGAUAGAGGAAAGCAGAAUUUCUAGUGUAGAGGUGAAAUUCGUAGAUAUUAGAAAGAAUACCAAUUGCGAAGGCAGCUUUCUGGAUCAUUACU
rnacentral:rRNA from 1 species